rnacentral:siRNA from 1 species
UAGUGAAAUCGUAGACAACGA